rnacentral:rRNA from 1 species
GACGAACGCUGGCGGCGUGCCUGAUACAUGCAAGUCGAGCGGACGAAUCGAAAGCUUGCUUUUGAUUCGUUAGCGGCGGACGGGUGAGUAACACGUGGGCAACCUGCCCUGUAGACGGGGAUAACACCGAGAAAUCGGUGCUAAUACCGGAUAACACGAAAUGUCGCAUGACGUUUCGUUGAAAGACGGCGCAAGCUGUCGCUACAGGAUGGGCCCGCGGCGCAUUAGCUAGUUGGUGAGGUAACGGCUCACCAAGGCGACGAUGCGUAGCCGACCUGAGAGGGUGAUCGGCCACACUGGGACUGAGACACGGCCCAGACUCCUACGGGAGGCAGCAGUAGGGAAUCUUCCGCAAUGGACGAAAGUCUGACGGAGCAACGCCGCGUGAGCGAAGAAGGCCUUCGGGUCGUAAAGCUCUGUUGUUAGGGAAGAACAAGUAACGCAGUAACUGGCGUUACCGUGACGGUACCUAACGAGAAAGCCACGGCUAACUACGUG